AGGGUUCGAUUCUGGCUCAGGAUGAACGCUGGCGGCGUGCUUAACACAUGCAAGUCGAACGGGAUCCAUCAAGCUUGCUUGGUGGUGAGAGUGGCGAACGGGUGAGUAAUGCGUGACCGACCUGCCCCAUACACCGGAAUAGCUCCUGGAAACGGGUGGUAAUGCCGGAUGCUCCAGUUGAUCGCAUGGUCUUCUGGGAAAGCUUUCGCGGUAUGGGAUGGGGUCGCGUCCUAUCAGCUUGACGGCGGGGUAACGGCCCACCGUGGCUUCGACGGGUAGCCGGCCUGAGAGGGCGACCGGCCACAUUGGGACUGAGAUACGGCCCAGACUCCUACGGGAGGCAGCAGUGGGGAAUAUUGCACAAUGGGCGCAAGCCUGAUGCAGCGACGCCGCGUGAGGGAUGGAGGCCUUCGGGUUGUAAACCUCUUUUAUCGGGGAGCAAGCGAGAGUGAGUUUACCCGUUGAAUAAGCACCGGCUAACUACGUGCCAGCAGCCGCGGUAAUACGUAGGGUGCAAGCGUUAUCCGGAAUUAUUGGGCGUAAAGGGCUCGUAGGCGGUUCGUCGCGUCCGGUGUGAAAGUCCAUCGCUUAACGGUGGAUCUGCGCCGGGUACGGGCGGGCUGGAGUGCGGUAGGGGAGACUGGAAUUCCCGGUGUAACGGUGGAAUGUGUAGAUAUCGGGAAGAACACCAAUGGCGAAGGCAGGUCUCUGGGCCGUUACUGACGCUGAGGAGCGAAAGCGUGGGGAGCGAACAGGAUUAGAUACCCUGGUAGUCCACGCCGUAAACGGUGGAUGCUGGAUGUGGGGCCCGUUCCACGGGUUCCGUGUCGGAGCUAACGCGUUAAGCAUCCCGCCUGGGGAGUACGGCCGCAAGGCUAAAACUCAAAGAAAUUGACGGGGGCCCGCACAAGCGGCGGAGCAUGCGGAUUAAUUCGAUGCAACGCGAAGAACCUUACCAAGGCUUGACAUGUGAGCGUCUGCCUCAGAGAUGGGGUUUCCUCCUUGUGGGGCGCUUUCACAGGUGGUGCAUGGUUGUCGUCAGCUCGUGUCGUGAGAUGUUGGGUUAAGUCCCGCAACGAGCGCAACCC
rnacentral:rRNA from 1 species